rnacentral:rRNA from 1 species
GGCCCACCAAGGCGACGAUUGGUAGCCGGACUGAGAGGUUGAACGGCCACAUUGGGACUGAGACACGGCCCAGACUCCUACGGGAGGCAGCAGUGGGGGAUAUUGCACAAUGGGGGAAACCCUGAUGCAGCGACGCCGCGUGGAGGAAGAAGGUUUUCGGAUUGUAAACUCCUGUCGUUAGGGACGAUAAUGACGGUACCUAACAAGAAAGCACCGGCUAACUACGUGCCAGCAGCCGCGGUAAAACGUAGGGUGCAAGCGUUGUCCGGAAUUACUGGGUGUAAAGGGAGCGCAGGCGGACCGGCAAGUUGGAAGUGAAAACUAUGGGCUCAACCCAUAAAUUGCUUUCAAAACUGCUGGCCUUGAGUAGUGCAGAGGUAGGUGGAAUUCCCGGUGUAGCGGUGGAAUGCGUAGAUAUCGGGAGGAACACCAGUGGCGAAGGCGACCUACUGGGCACCAACUGACGCUGAGGCUCGAAAGCAUGGGUAGCAAACAGGAUUAGAUACCCUGGUAGUCCAUGCCGUAAACGAUGAUUACUAGGUGUUGGAGGAUUGACCCCUUCAGUGCCGCAGUUAACACAAUAAGUAAUCCACCUGGGGAGUACGACCGCAAGGUUGAAACUCAAAGGAAUUGACGGGGGCCCGCACAAGCAGUGGAGUAUGUGGUUUAAUUCGAAGCAACGCGAAGAACCUUACCAGGUCUUGACAUCCGAUGCAUAGUGCAGAGAUGCAUGAAGUCCUUCGGGACAUCGAGACAGGUGGUGCAUGGUUGUCGUCAGCUCGUGUCGUGAGAUGUUGGGUUAAGUCCCGCAACGAGCGCAACCCUUAUUGCCAGUUACUACG